UCAUGCGAAUGGUGCACGAAACAUUUCACGCGACUUGUCGGAGUUGUGUUCUAGUACGUUUUUCGAGAUAACGUUAUCACUGAUUUAUCUGUGUGCGUGAUCUUGGUUCGGUCUUCUUAGAAACAUUGUCAAACUGCUGUCAAUAGUGAUUCUGAUGCGAUGAUGAUAACAUGUGGUAAGUAAUGAUGAGGUUUUAAUAAGAAAUUAUUUGAUUUGCCGGCUGCGAAAAAUCUUCAUAUCAUGAUAGAUUUUUAUUAAAAAAAUUGGCCAAUUGAUCUUUCCAUUGGUUUUGAUUUUUCGCUUAGUUGAUCAUGUAAAUUUCUUACUAGAAGCUCAUCUCUGCACUUCUUUUGUUGAUCACGUGACAAUAUGUGAAUGGUAAACAUGCAAAUCUACAAUACUCCUAGAUUAAAACUAUCAAACUACAGUGCGCAAUCAACUACUAAACAACGUUGCUAUUUUUAUACGGCCGUAUUUACAAAUAUAAUAUGGAUGCAACUGAAUAUUCAUGUUACUCACGCAUUGGUUUGCGUUCUUCUACCCCGGGGUUUUCCUGUUAUUUUUGGAAGCUGAUUUUCUAAACCAUGGAAGGACAGGGAACUAUGCUUUUAAAUCCGCAGCUGAGAAUACACCCAACGAUUUUCCGUUUAAGUCCGACACCUCGUACGAACUGGUACCGACUUUCCGGAGGAUGACGCAUGGUGUGUAUUGAGGUCCCAGCUUCGCGUUGAAUUGGAUUCCAGCAGACGACUGACGAAAACUCCGUUUAUACACACGCUGACCCACAUCAAACGUUGGAAUGGGACCAAGACUGCGUGUCCGAUGUACCUCAAGAAGCCAGUAGCUUUCCAGAGGCUAACCGACGCCAUCGCCCAAGUGCCGCCUUCCAGAGGCUAAUCAACGCCAUCAGCGAUGUGCCGUGUGCAGCUAGAGAACCCAACACAUCAAGGAGAACACGUCGUACGAAUCCACCGAUGUCUGCCAGCCUUCCGAUGCAUCGCCAAGGAACGAGUACUGCGACAGGUGACGUUUAAUCCACUCCGUUAUCCUAAUCUUCUCACUUUCCACAAACGAAACAUGAAUACACUAAAUUAAAUUAAGCUAACUCAGUUUUAGCACAAACGAAGUUCGUUUGUGGUUUUAGUCCAUUAUUUUAAACACGAAAUUCCCUAUUUCCUCUAUCACUCUUUUGAUGUCUACCUUGGAUAUGUUUUGGAAAGUAUUUCCACCCAAUUCGUCUCUGGAGCAAGCAAACAUGUUCCGACAAAGCCUGGAGAGGGACAAAAAAGUAGUCCCCAGAGAUUAAAGAUAGUCUAACAAACUCUAACUGUUAUCAGUGUGCACGUGGUUCUUCGUCAGCUUAUCAAAAAUAAUCGUUUUAUAAAUUAGUUUGAUAAAGGAGGUUAUUAUCUAGUUGCAAAAACUCAAGAACAAUAGGCAGUUAACGAAAGAGAAAGUCGAUGAACAAAAUCGAUCAAUGCAGA